UGGGGAAUAUUGUACAAUGGGCGAAAGCCUGAUCCAGCCAUGCCGCGUGUGUGAAGAAGGUCUUCGGAUUGUAAAGCACUUUAAGUUGGGAGGAAGGGCAGUAAGCGAAUACCUUGCUGUUUUGACGUUACCGACAGUAUAAGCACCGGCUAACUCCGUGCCAGCAGCCGCGGUAAUACAGAGGGUGCAAGCGUUAAUCGGAAUUACUGGGCGUAAAGCGCGCGUAGGUGGUUCGUUAAGUUGAAUGUGAAAGCCCCGGGCUCAACCUGGGAACUGCAUCCAAAACUGGCGAGCUAGAGUAGGGCAGAGGGUGGUGGAAUUUCCUGUGUAGCGGUGAAAUGCGUAGAUAUAGGAAGGAACACCAGUGGCGAAGGCGACCACCUGGGCUCAUACUGACACUGAGGUGCGAAAGCGUGGGGAGCAAACAGG
rnacentral:rRNA from 1 species